GGUAGUCUGCCAAUAGUUAACAGAAGGAGUCAUGAGAUAGCAAUUCAAAAGAAUUCAUUGCUUGACAGAGUAGCGGAUUGGACAAACGUAUGUAAGGAUUCAGAGUUUGAACCUGAGGAGAGGAAGGAAAAGGGGAAUUAGAUUUUACAAUGUAACAUACAAAGAAAUAUAACUAUGACCCGAAGGGGAGAGAAACAGCCUCCUCUCAGAAUCGACUGGAGCUGCAAAGAGCACCAUAGAGUCAUGACUCACUAUACUGUGACAGCUGUCCUCAUCACCAAGAUCCUUUUCCCUCCUCACCCUGAAAUACGCUACUGAGAAGUGAGCUGAACAGGGUUUCCAACUGGAACUGUAUUUAAGAAUAAGCAAAUAGACUGAGGUGAAAAAAGAAUGCUAAAUAAUAAAGGUACCAUAUAUAACAUGUCCUAGACAUGGGUCAAGUACUUCAGCUCAUACUCAGGAGAAGGUGUGACCUGCAGCAGCACCGCAAUCCCCUGAGGACCUUCAGAGGACUUUGAUUCUGCUCAAUCUAGGCUUUAUUUGCUCACUUUGGGACUCUGUGAAUGUGUACAUUUGAGUUUAUCUAGUUAAGUCAUGAAAACCGAAUUCUAAUGUACGGGGAAGCCCAAGAAGAAUAAAGGCAUGUCUGUGUGUUGUA
rnacentral:lncRNA from 1 species